CUUCUGUGAAUUGGAUCAAGAGUCUGAAUAAACUCAAAUAUUUUUUGUUGUCUAUCAGCUUCAUCUUUUGUAUCCCACGAGUUUGGAGUUAAAUAUCAGCACCACAUUU